UACGUAGGGUGCGAGCGUUGUCCGGAAUUAUUGGGCGUAAAGAGCUUGUAGGCGGUUUGUCGCGUCUGCCGUGAAAAUUCGAGGCUCAACCUCGAACUUGCGGUGGGUACGGGCAGACUAGAGUGUGGUAGGGGAGACUGGAAUUCCUGGUGUAGCGGUGAAAUGCUUAGAUAUGACAUAGAACACCAAUUGCGAAGGCAGCUUACUACGGAUCGAUUGACACUGAGGCACGAAAGCGUGGGGAGCGAACAGG
rnacentral:rRNA from 1 species